GGCGUGGAUAGUUAAUUUCUGGAAUGACUGAAGUAAAUAUAAUCAGCUCACUUUAAAAUGAAUUUUUUCAGUGUAAAGUAGCUCUUUGGAAAUUGAGAUGAAGUUUGAUCAGAAAGUAAGGCAGAAGGUAUGUGAAAUAGUAGAAACUGUAGAUGUGAGUAGAAAAAAGUGGGUGGCAAGGGAUAAGGAAGCAUCUAGGAGGUCCGCCCAGAAUUCUGAGAAAGAGACCAGACCAUAAUAAAACGGAACAUAGAGAAAGGAGGACCUCAGAGCACAAAAAAUGCAAUUUUAAUUUGAUUUCAAGGCAACCUGAGUGUUACUGCAACAUCGGAAAAAAGAACAAACUUGGUCUUACAAACAUAAAAAAAAGUGCUUAGUCUUGAGAUUUCUCUGGCUGUGUAAGUGAAGUCCUCUGCGUUCUCAUUUAUUUCACCUUUUUUUUUUUUUUUUUUUGAGUGGAUUUCUGGUUGUGAUACUGAACUGUGGAUAUUUGACCUAAAUAAAGUGCCAAUUUGGAAAAGAAACAUGAGGAAAAGGGAGAAAUGACAGUCACAAAUGAGAGUGUGCAAGUGCAGUGCUCGGGCAAGCAGUUCAGUCUCUGCUUUAACUGAACUGUUACGGAAAGAGACGCCCUUUCACGACUUUCCAGUGCAUUAUUUUAAACCACAUAUAUUAUUAAUAUAUGGUCAGUCAUGGAUUCUUCAAGAAAAUGUUUUGAAACUCUAACAUCUUAAACUUUGGCUUAUAUUGUUGUGAAGGUAUUUAUUCUUUCUUAUUUUUCUUGAAAGCUUAGAGUUACUAAUUGUUUUGUCAUCAAAUUUUCUGAUUAUAAAUAUCAAGGAGUCCCACCGUACACUACAGUUUCGUGGCAUGGAUUGUAUUUUCCUUGUAAUUCGAAGCUUGUAAAUCACAAGGGCGUCAAAGGCCAUGAGCUCUAUGAACACCUUCGGACGACCACCAGAUUUGGUUGCUACCAUUGCUUUCAAAAUAAAAGAUUCAAAACCAACCGAAAAGAGACCUGGUUCGCCCACAAACGAUUAAGGAACACUUCUACCUACAGCCCGCUGCCGAUCCACAGGCACUAUGAAAGCUUUUCUGCUGGAAUACUUUCGCCUGUCUGUUGCAGAAGAAACCAUCACUGCUUAAUAGGAAAGUAGUACUUCUGUUAUGGUUGAGUUUAAAAUGUGCUUUUUAGAGGCAUCAUCUCUCAGAGACCAACUCAUGCAUGUGUUCAGAGAGGGUCUUAAUUGGUGCAUGAUUUACUACAUGAAGCAAAACUUUGCUUGGACAGGCUGAAAGACUAUGGUGAGGAAGAGCCCUUUAUACAGUUUUAUAGGCCUGUCUUCUCACUGGGAACAUAUAUUUACUAAUUGUAUAAUUGGUGGCACAGUUCUUCCAUCAUAAACAUUGUUAUCAGUUAAUUAAACUUGAAAUGCAGCUUUGUUCCACAACAUGUUUUGUCAGAUUGUUUUCCUUAUUUAUUUAUCAUCAUAAAAUUUUACUUGGUGACUGGCAGCUUCUCAGCCCUCCAAUAAUAAUAUAAAUCAAAACAUAAGAUUUUAGUCUUCAUGCAAUUUCCUUUUGGUCUGAAAAUAUGAAACCAGAUGUUUUUGGCAU
ensembl:lncRNA